rnacentral:rRNA from 1 species
UACGUAGGGUCCGAGCGUUGUCCGGAAUUACUGGGCGUAAAGAGCUCGUAGGUGGUUUGUCGCGUUGUUCGUGAAAACUCACAGCUCAACUGUGGGCGUGCGGGCGAUACGGGGCAGACUUGAGUACUGCAGGGGAGACUGGAAUUCCUGGUGUAGCGGUGGAAUGCGCAGAUAUCAGGAGGAACACCGAUGGCGAAGGCAGGUCUCUGGGCAUUAACUGACGCUGAGGAGCGAAAGCAUGGGGAGCGAACAGG